rnacentral:rRNA from 1 species
CAGUAGCCGCGGUAAUACGUAGGUCCCGAGCGUUGUCCGGAUUUAUUGGGCGUAAAGCGAGCGCAGGCGGUUAGAUAAGUCUGAAGUUAAAGGCUGUGGCUUAACCAUAGUACGCUUUGGAAACUGUUUAACUUGAGUGCAAGAGGGGAGAGUGGAAUUCCAUGUGUAGCGGUGAAAUGCGUAGAUAUAUGGAGGAACACCGGUGGCGAAAGCGGCUCUCUGGCUUGUAACUGACGCUGAGGCUCGAAAGCGUGGGGAGCAAAUGGGAUUAGAUACCCGCGUAGUCCCUGUCUCUUAUACA